rnacentral:lncRNA from 1 species
UUAAGUUCAUUCAGUUCAAAUAGGGUUUGUAGUUGGCUUCAAAGACUGAGUUUCAGCAAUCAACAAGUUUCAGGAAGAGUUUUCAAGGCUCGAAACAUACAAGUAUUUUUGAGAGGUGCAAAAGCUACUCAGGUGCAACGUAGUGUUCUUUACAAGGCGUUUAAAAUCAUUUCUCCCAAUGCAAGUGAAUGCAACCUAUAUGCUCUAGACUCUCCUAAAAAUGCAAGUGAUGCAAUCUAUAUGAUUUGUUUUUUUUUUUUUUAAAUAUGCAAAUAGGUAUGCAAUGCAUGACUCAAUGAACAACAUCAAAGCAAACAUGAUCAAAUACUUGGUACCUCCCCCAAACUUAAAUGACACAGUCUCUGUGUUGUCAAGUAGAGAGAGAUACCCAAAAGAGAAAGCUAAUAUGCAAAAAUGAAAUGGUAUAUACAAGGGAAAGUAGAG